UAGAUCAUAGGAGUCACAUUAUUUGGAUUGGAAGAGGUCAAAGUUACGGAAUUGGUCGGUAUGAAGUUUAUUUUGAGGUAAUUUGAUCAAUUGAUCAAUAAAAUACUGAUACACAGACGAAAUUGUAUGUAUAUCAAUAUUUUAUUAACCAAUUAACUAACUUAUCAAAAAAAUAAUUCCACACUAACCGAAUCCCAAAGUUACAUAAUGGAUGCUCAAACCUAUCAUAUUGCUCAAGAGCCUCUUUUGUUCUUAAUCAAUUAU
rnacentral:lncRNA from 1 species